AUCCCCCCUAGUCAACCCACACAUCCAACGCAACAUCCGCAUUUCCGCCACCUUCAUUUUUCGAAUGUGGGAGUUCUUAACUGACCAACACUCCACUCCAUACAACAUGGCCGGAUGGACUGCCACCCUGUAGAAUUUGCCUUUAAGCUUGGGCGACACCUUCUUAUCACACAACACCCCCGAAGAGAGCUUCCACUUCAUCCAUCCCGCCCCAAUACGGUGCGAGACAUCCUCGUCAAUCUCACCGUUACCCUGAAUCAUGGACCCGAGAUAUUUGAAACUAUCCCUCUUACAUACCACUUGUGACUCCAACUUCACUACCACCUCAUUUUCCAGCCUCACGUCAUUAAACUUGCAUUCCAAAUACUCUGUCUUGCUCCUACUCAACCUGAACCCUUUAGACUCAAGAGUUUGUCUCCACACCUCUAAUUUAUCAUUCACAC
rnacentral:lncRNA from 1 species